rnacentral:rRNA from 1 species
CUGCUGCCUCCCGUAGGAGUUUGGACCGUGUCUCAGUUCCAAUGUGGGGGACCUUCCUCUCAGAACCCCUACGCAUCGUCGGCUUGGUGGGCCGUUGCCCCACCAACUACCUAAUGCGCCGCAUGCCCAUCCGUGACCGGGGUCGCCCCCUUUGGCCGGCAGGGGAUGUCCCCUCCCGGCAUCAUGUUGUAUUAGGCGGGAUUUCUCCCGGUUAUCCAUCUGUCACGGCCAGGUUGCAUACGUGUUACUCACCCGUGCGCCGGUCGCCGG